UAUAUUUUGGUGUAUGACGCACAAAAGUUUUUGAUACUUUAGGAAACAGUUUAAUUCUGUUAAAUAUAA
rnacentral:tRNA from 1 species